AGACUAGCCCAGGGCCGCAGUCAGGACCAGCCCAGCAGCCCAGCCACAGAGGAGCCAGCGAACCUCUCCCGGCGCCUGUGCUGGGGGCUUUCUGUUCCAGCGUCAAGGAUGGAGGAGGGGGAGAGGAGCCCCUUACUGUCCCAGGAAACUGCAGGCCAGAAGCCCCUCUCUGUGCACAGGCCACCCACCUCAGGCUGCCUAGGUCCAGUGCCCAGGGAGGACCAGGCGGAGGCCUGGGGCUGCAGCUGCUGUCCCCCGGAGACCAAGCACCAGGCCUUGAGUGGCACCCCCAAGAAAGGACCAGCCCCUUCCCUCUCCCCAGGGAGCAGCUGCGUCAAGUAUCUGAUCUUCCUCUCCAACUUCCCCUUCUCCCUGCUGGGGCUGCUGGCCCUGGCCAUCGGGCUCUGGGGCCUGGCUGUCAAGGGGUCUCUGGGAAGUGAUCUGGGGGGGCCCCUGCCCGCAGACCCCAUGCUGGGGCUGGCACUGGGAGGGCUGGUGGUCAGCGCAGUGAGCCUGGCUGGCUACCUGGGCGCCCUCUGUGAGAACACCUGCCUGUUACGUGGCUUCUCUGGGGGCAUCCUUGCCUUCCUGGUGCUUGAGGCCGUGGCGGGGGCCCUGGUGGUGGCCCUCUGGGGCCCGCUGCAAGACAGCCUGGAGCACACCCUGCGUGUGGCCAUCGCCCACUACCAGGACGACCCAGACCUGCGCUUCCUCCUCGACCAAGUCCAGCUCGGGCUGAGGUGCUGCGGAGCUGCCUCCUACCAGGACUGGCAGCAGAACCUGUACUGCCUCUCAAGCCCUUGCUCUUCCCAGUAAGACCUGUGGACCAUUCCAGAAGCCUCUGCCAGAGUUCCAUCCACCCUCCCCUGCUCCAACUCUACCUUCUCAAUGAGCUCAGCAGCCUCUGCGGAGGGAGGUCCUCUUAUCAAUGCUUGUCUGUUCCCCCUUCAACCGUCUCACUAAAUAUCCUCCUGCUAGUCAACACAGCCACCACCCCUACCUGCAAGCGCAGAGGACUGCCGUGCACAGGGAUACGUUAUAGAGAGCCAGGUACUUUAACUGCAGCUCCCCCGGGGUGCAGGCCUGCAGCCUUCCCGCCUCCUGCUGCAUCGACCCCCGCGAAGAUGGAGCCUCUGUCAACGACCAGUGCGGCUUCGGGGUCCUGCGCCUGGAUGCGGACGCAGCUCAGAGAGUGGUGUACCUGGAGGGCUGCGGCCCGCCGCUCCGGCGGUGGCUGCGCGCGAACCUGGCUGCCUCGGGCGGCUACGCAAUCGCGGUGGUGCUGCUGCAGGGCGCGGAGCUCCUGCUGGCCGCCCGGCUACUCGGGGCCCUCGCUGCCCGCAGGGGGGCGGCGUACGGCCCCGGAGCGCGCGGGGAGGACCGCGCUGGCCCCCAGAGCCCCAGCCCCGGCGCCCCGCCCGCUGCCAAGCCCGCCCGGGGCUGAGCGCACGCCCCGAGGUCCGAGACCGCCACGCACAGGGAUACAGGGGGCGCCUCCGCCCGGCUAAAAAGCGCGGCCUGCGCCGCCGCCGCCGCCUGAUUUCGCUCGGGCUUCGGGUGACUUCGCCGCAGGACCUACCCAGCUCGCUCACUUCGCUCGCUCCGCGUCCCCCAUGCCAGCCCCCAACGCAGGGCGCCCGGCGAAGCCACGGGACUGGCGGGAGGAGCACGCGGGGCCGGAGGAAAUCCUGAAGCUGACCCUCACCUCCGAGCCCCCACUCCCACCCCAGCCGCACAGUUCCCACCUCCUGGCACCUCCCUCCCCUGGGGCCGCCACCCCUUCUGGGCUCGUGAUGGUGGAGCUAAGGUCCAGGCCUCUCCCUCCCGAGUGCAUUUUUGGGGAGAUAGUAAAUGUUUUAUUCGGGUGUAUCAUUCAUACAGUAAAGACACCAAUCUUCAGAGGCA